rnacentral:rRNA from 1 species
CUCUACAGCCAUACCAACCUGAAUGCAUCCAAUCUUUUUUGAUAUCUGAAGCUAAGCAGGGCCAGGCUGGUUAGUAUUAAUACUUGAUGGAAGAGG